GGAGGAGAUAAAUGAAGUUAAGAUGCCCAGGACGGAGGCAGAAACCGCGGCGUGGAGAUAGAGCUGUCUCCUUCACAGACGAGCAGCCCACAAUCCCGGCUCCCUGUUUUAUUGCAGAAGCUUAUUAAAGGCAUUUUAGAGAUCAUCAUAGGAGGCUUAGGAGCGUGAGAGAAGCGGGACCAUGGCUGGAGUCUGCGCAUUUUCUCAGGAUUUCGAGGGAGGGAGCCAGCAGAUAACCGCUCUCUUACAGUCCUCCUAGUGAUUUUGCAUUUAUCCAGCGGUCACCAUCUGUUUCUGAAGACCCCAGAAUUUGUGUCCCUGCACAACUGAGCUAAUUGCUGGCAUUUCCUGUUGCAAAACUGUGUUUAAGAGGAGACGGAGAAAUGACCCCAAGCAAGUUCCCCGCUGGUGAGUGCAGUUGACUGUUUCUGCAUCACUUGAAUCAUUUCAGUUUGUCCAACGACGUGUUGCAGCGGUAGCAUUUCUAUUGGAACAUGUUGAUAUGUUUUAAUGCAAUCAAUAGUCAGAACCUCCUGUGGAUGAAAUUAAUAAGCCCAGAACACAAUGCACAUAUGGUAAUUAUUAAGUCUGGAAGUGGUUACUGCAUUAAUUGAUGGCAGUAGCAAGUCAUGCACCCGCUCUUAAUUUCAUCGUUUCUUAUAUGGAGAUCCUGUAAACAGAAUUUUUGCAUUCUAUUAUAUCAGACCUCUCUCUCCUUUUUCUUAAGAAUGGGUCACUGUGAAACUAUUUAUAGCUCCCUUAGCUCAUUUAGCUUCAUUACAAUUUUGGAUCUUUUGUCCAUAAACAAAAAGUUGCUGAAAAUAGCUCGUCUGCAACCAUGAAAGUCACAUCUACAUGUCUCUGGGAUUCAGUUGGUGCUACGAGGGACUCCGGUUGCAGCCCAUGUCCUUCAAAGUUAAGCCAUCGCAGAGGAACAUAAGUAGAUGACUUGGCCUCAUUGCUGACAUAAAAAUCAGAUGCUUUCAUAGCUGUGUCUACAGCUGAAGUUAAAUUAAAAGUAUUACAAAUAUGGCAUUCCUUGAUUUAAAAAAAUGUAUUUCAGUAAUAUUAAUAUCAUUCUCCUUAAAAUUUUUAAGUAGCGUAGCGUGUACCCUACUGAGAAUCUCAGAAUAUUGGUCCUUUCCAUUCUGAACUAGGGAAGGCAGAAGGUUGUGAAGGGCUGUGGACACUUAGAGAUCACUCAUGUCUAUCGGUGAGAUACCCUUGAUGGCCAACGUGGCACUAACGCUCAAAUCCACACAUGCUUUAUAUCUUGAAAAAUCAGUGAACCUCUCGUGAUCCCAAAAAGACCAUGACUGUCACCAGGGGAAACUCCAAAUAGUUUAAUCCAGUUUCUUUCUUCAACCCCUGCAUAAGAUUUUCAUUCUCUUUAAUACCUACCAGAUAAAUGACUGGCUGAAAACAGGCUAAUUCGGAGUGAUAAUAAUAAUAGUAAUAAUAAUAGAAUUGUAUAUAUGUAAAUAUAGUGUAGGAAGACCUUAAAUGUAGAGUUUUCAGAAGCACUGGUGAGGCUCUUCUUGGCUUCAGGAUCAUGGUGGCAGUUGUGGUUUUGAAAUCCAAUAUUUUACAUCUUUUUAUUAUCUCCUACUGUGGGAAACUGCAGGGGGUCUGUGGAAUCCUUGACAGAAAAUAUGAGACUAGAGAUCAGCCUUGAGAUAUUAAGAUUUACCCUUGAGAAGGAUGGGAGUAAAGGAGUAUCCGGAGAGAGGAGAGAUGUACCCGUGAGAGAGAAGGGGAUAGAAGAAUAACAUGGAUGAUAGAAAAAUUAACCAAUGAGAUGUUAGUGCUGUAACUUGUAACCAAUAGUGAAAAGACACAUGAACUGGUAGAAUUGUAUAAAAAUGCACUUGUAGCA